GGUUGAUCCUGCCAGUAGUCAUAUGCUUGUCUCAAAGAUUAAGCCAUGCAUGUCUAAGUAUAGAGGAUUUUAUGCUUCGAAACUGCGGACGGCUCAUUAAAUCAGUUAUAAUCUACUUGAUCGUCUUUUCUACAUGGAUAACUGUAGUAAUUCUAGAGCUAAUACAUGCACCAAUUCUCGACUGCUCUCACGGGUGGAAGAGAAGUAUUUAUUAGGUCCAAAAUCAAUACUGGUUCGCAAGGAUCAGUUCCCAUUUGAUGAUUCAUAAUAACUUAACGAAGCGCAGAGCCCUU
rnacentral:rRNA from 1 species